AUGGAAGACUACUUCGCGGAGGUACCUACAUACCCUCCUCGUCUCUUCCGCAGAAGGUACCGAAUGCAGCAUAGUUUGUUUGUGAAGAUUGUCACCGAUUGUGAGGCCGCCUCCUAUUACUUUAAACGUCGUAGAUCCGCCGCCGGUAUCAUGGGGUUUAGUGCAUAUCAAAAGAUAUCGGCGGCAAUGCGGGUACUCGCUUAUGGCAUACCCGCGGAUUAUACCGACGAGUAUCUUCGUAUUGGGCAAGAUACAACCACGGAGUCAGUCCGUAGGUUUGCCAAGUUGGUCAUCCGGUUGUACGGUGAGCAGUAUCUUCGGGCACCAAACGAGGAAGAUACAAAGAGAUUAAUGGAAAUGAAUGAAAAAAGGGGAUGGACGGGGAUGCUUGGUGAUCUUGAUUGCAUGCAUUGGAGGUGGAAAAAUUGCCCAAAGGCAUGGCACGGAAUGUAUUGCGGUAAAAGCCAUGAUGCUACCAUUGUGCUUGAGGCCGUAGCAUCUCAGGACACAUGGAUUUGGCAUGCAUUCUUUGGGUUGCCGGGAACACUCAAUGAUAUCAAUAUCCUCAAUAGAUCUCCUUUGUUCAAAAGAUUAAUUUCUGGGGAUGCUCCAGCUUGCAACUACAAAAUCAUGGACAAUGAGUACUCAAUGGGAUACUAUCUCACCGAUGGCAUCUAUCCCUAA
rnacentral:rRNA from 1 species